rnacentral:rRNA from 1 species
UACGGGGGGUGCAAGCGUUAUCCGGAUUCACUGGGUUUAAAGGGUGCGUAGGCGGGUUGGUAAGUCAGUGGUGAAAUCUUCAAGCUUAACUUGGAAACUGCCGUUGAUACUAUCAAUCUUGAAUAUUGUGGAGGUAAGCGGAAUAUGUCAUGUAGCGGUGAAAUGCUUAGAUAUGACAUAGAACACCGAUAGCGAAGGCAGCUUGCUACACAGAAAUUGACGCUGAGGCACGAAAGCGUGGGGAUCAAACAGG